rnacentral:lncRNA from 1 species
AUUUUAUAAAUAUACCUGGAAGAAAGAAAGUGAGACAUAUUUUUCAAAUCAAGACUUAGGACUUCCUUCCUUCCUACCCUGGAAACAAGGGCCAAUCAAAAUGAAGCUGCUUCUUUGGGUUUGCAUCGUGUGCGUUGCUU